rnacentral:lncRNA from 1 species
GAGUUUUAGGUCUUUUGGAAUGGGGACAGCAUAUAUGUAAGAUGUAGCUGCUAGAGUUUCCCGGUAUCAUGGCGGAUGUGUAAGGAUUCGCCACCAGAGGAAUCAGAUUUUAAUAAGGCUUACAAGAUUAGGUUUUAGUUGUUGUGCCCAGAGAUUGAGUUACCAUUGUUUCUGAACUAAGUUUGUGUUGGCUUUCCCUUCACACAGUGGGGGCGGCUCAUCUGGGUUCAAGAGAGAAAGGUAUCCUGUAAAGCAUGGGUGUGCUAAAUGUGCAACACAAAGGUUGUGGGGGAUUUGAAGCACAGGUGGGCUUGGUAAGGACCCACCAGUGGGAACCUAGGGGGCUGGGUGGAGAGAUUGUGGAGUUCUGAGUCAGAGUCUCCAUGAGAUAAAACAAGUUGACCAAUGCCUGACCAGACCACUGGGGCAGAGAGUUGCUGGCACAAGCAUGGGAACGUGUCAGUUCUUUUUUAAUAUUUCCCACAACAAAUAUAUAUCCUGAUUACAGUUUCCCCUCCCUCUACCCCCCUCCCCGUUCCUCCCUGAAUUUCAGGGUUCAGACUACAAACUGCUUCUGUGUGACUAAGAGAAGAAGAAUCAGAGUAAAGAGAAACAUACUCUCUUAAUCUCCGAAGAUUAACGGCAGGAGGAGCUCUAGAAUUUCACAAAGGUGCUGUCAGGACACAUGAAAAUCUAGAGAAAAAGACCAGCUUGAAGAGACCAAAAAGAAGAAAGCCUGCCAAUCACAUCCUCCAGAGAUUCUGAGACACACACACCCCUGGUGUAGGGGGACACCAUCUGAAAGGUGACACCCAUUCUACGGAAUAUAAGUACCAGCUAAAGAGGACACACACUUGAAGAAAAAGGAGACAAUGAGGUCUUGUGAAUGCUCUAAUUUUUCAAAGCUUACUUUUAAUGAUGGUUCUUAAACGCUUUAACCUCCCUUCUAGUCCACCACCCACCAAAGGUAGUGAAAAGAAAGGUGAUUAGGAUACAGGCGAAGUGAACCUGUUCAGACAUGGUUCUUUGGUGCACAACCUAGCAGGAACAUCCAGGUCUCAGUGGAAUCAGCUCAAAUCAGCAUGAAGAAUUAGGACCAUUAGGAGUUCCAGGAGAAGCUCUCAGCUCUGCCUCUCUGGACAAAUCGAUGAUCAGGAAAGACAAAAGCGCGAGAAGCGUUGCAGAGUUAGCUGUACAAGCUAGCCUCUCUCACGGUCUGUUGAGUCCUAUUUAUACUCCCUCCAAACAUCACAUGUCCUCCAUGGGUCUUGCCUCACCGUGUGUCUUACCUCAGCACAUGAAUCUGUCUCAGCUGAUAUCGCUCUGCUAAGCGACCAAGUCGGCAGAAGAGGCAAGAAGCCACCAGCCAUCACCAGAAGGUUUUUGGUGCAUUUCUCUCUGUGGAGUGUCAACAAAUGAAGAUCAACUACACAAUGAAAACACUCCUUCCUGUGUGUGCCCCAGCAAAGCACAAUUCAAUGAAACUGACUUUCUAAAGAAACCAAAAGUUGGGGCUGGAGAGAUGGCUCAGUGGUUAAGAGCACUGACUGCUCUUCAAGAUGUCCUGAGUUCAAUUCCCAGCAACCACAUGGUGGCUCACAACGAUCCAUAAUGAGAUCCAAUGCCCCCUUCUGGUGUAUCUGAAGACAGCUACAGUGUACUCACAUACAUAAAAUAAAUAAAAUCUUGAAAAAAGAAAAAAGAAAGAAAGAAGCUAGAAGUUUCCACUUGAA